rnacentral:rRNA from 1 species
CCUACGGGGGGCAGCAGUGGGGAAUAUUGGACAAUGGGGGGAACCCUGAUCCAGCCAUGCCGCGUGUGUGAAGAAGGCCCUCGGGUUGUAAAGCACUUUCAGUGAGGAAGAACGCCUGGUGGUUAAUACCCAUCAGGAAAGACAUCACUCACAGAAGAAGCACCGGCUAACUCCGUGCCAGCAGCCGCGGUAAUACGGAGGGUGCGAGCGUUAAUCGGAAUUACUGGGCGUAAAGCGCGCGUAGGUGGCUUGAUAAGCCGGUUGUGAAAGCCCCGGGCUCAACCUGGGAACGGCAUCCGGAACUGUCGAGCUAGAGUGCAGGAGAGGAAGGUAGAAUUCCCGGUGUAGCGGUGAAAUGCGUAGAGAUCGGGAGGAAUACCAGUGGCGAAGGCGGCCUUCUGGACUGACACUGACACUGAGGUGCGAAAGCGUGGGUAGCAAACAGGAUUAGAUACCCUAGUAGUC